GGGAUCUUAGCUCAGCUGGGAGAGCAUCUGCCUUACAAGCAGAGGGUCACAGGUUCGAGCCCUGUAGGCCCCA
rnacentral:tRNA from 1 species